UACGUAGGGUGCGAGCGUUGUCCGGAAUUAUUGGGCGUAAAGAGCUUGUAGGCGGUUUGUCGCGUCUGCCGUGAAAAUCCGGGCUCAACCCCGGACUUGCGGUGGGUACGGGCAGACUAGAGUGUGGUAGGGGAGACUGGAAUUCCUGGUGUAGCGGUGAAAUGCGCAGAUAUCAGGAGGAACACCGAUGGCGAAGGCAGGUCUCUGGGCCACUACUGACGCUGAGAAGCGAAAGCGUGGGGAGCGAACAGG
rnacentral:rRNA from 1 species